rnacentral:rRNA from 1 species
ACGGAAGGCAGCAGUGAGGAAUAUUGGUCAAUGGACGAGAGUCUGAACCAGCCAAGUAGCGUGCAGGAUGACGGCCCUAUGGGUUGUAAACUGCUUUUGUACGGGAAUAAAGUGACCUACGUGUAGGUUUUUGCAUGUACCGUAAGAAUAAGGACCGGCUAAUUCCGUGCCAGCAGCCGCGGUAAUACGGAAGGUCCGGGCGUUAUCCGGAUUUAUUGGGUUUAAAGGGAGCGUAGGCGGACUGUUAGGUCUGUGGUCAAAUGUCAGGGCCCAACCUUGGCAUGCCAUGGAAACCGGCGGUCUUGAAUACACGCAAGGCAGAUGGAAUUCGUCGUGUAGCGGUGAAAUGCUUAGAUAUGACGAAGAACUCCGAUUGCGAAGGCAGUCUGCUGGAGUGCGAUUGACGCUGAGGCUCGAAAGCGCGGGUAUCAAACAGGAUUAGAUACCCUGGUA